rnacentral:rRNA from 1 species
UAGGGAAUCUUCGGCAUUGGACGAAAGUCUCACCGAGCAACGCCGCGUGCGUGAAGAAGGUUUUCGGAUCGUAAAACUCUGUUGUUAGAGAAGAACAAGGACGUUAGUAACUGAACGUCCCCUGACGGUAUCUAACCAGAAAGCCACGGCUAACUACGUACCAGCAGCCGCGGUAAUACGUAGGUGGCAAGCGUUGUCCGGAUUUAUUGGGCGUAAAGCGAGCGCAGGCGGUUUCUUAAGUCUGAUGUGAAAGCCCCCGGCUCAACCGGGGAGGGUCAUUGGAAACUGGGAGACUUGAGUGCAGAAGAGGAGAGUGGAAUUCCAUGUGUAGCGGUGAAAUGCGUAGAUAUAUGGAGGAACACCAGUGGCGAAGGCGGCUCUCUGGUCUGUAACUGCCGCUGAGGCUCGAAAGCGUGGGGAGCAAACAGG